rnacentral:rRNA from 1 species
UACGUAGGUGGCAAGCGUUGUCCGGAAUUAUUGGGCGUAAAGCGCGCGCAGGUGGUUUCUUAAGUCUGAUGUGAAAGCCCACGGCUCAACCGUGGAGGGUCAUUGGAAACUGGGGAACUGAGUGCAGGAGAGAAGAGUGGAAUUCCACGUGUAGCGGUGAAAAUGCGUAGAGAUGUGGAGGAACACCAGUGGCGAAGGCGGGUCUCUGGGCCGUAACUGACGCUGAGGAGCGAAAGCGUGGGGAGCGAACAGG